rnacentral:SRP_RNA from 1 species
GGCGGGUCUCCCCGCAUGGCACGAUGAAAACCGGGUCAGAUUCGGAAGAAAGCAGCCCUAAUUAUCCUCUGCCAGUGCCGGGGAAAUGACUCGCCGCU